AUUGAACGCUGGCGGAAUGCUUUACACAUGCAAGUCGAACGGUAGAGGGGGCAACCCCUCGAGAGUGGCGAACGGGUGAGUAAUAUAUCGGAACGUGCCCUGUCGUGGGGGAUAACGUAGCGAAAGUUACGCUAAUACCGCAUACGAUCUAAGGAUGAAAGCGGGGGAUCGCAAGACCUAGAGCGAUUGGAGCGGCCGAUUUCAGAUUAGGCAGUUGGUGUGGCAAAGGCCCACCAAGCCAACGAUCUGUAGCUGGUCUAGGAGGAAGACCAGGCACACUGAAAAUGAGAAACGGUACAGACUCCUACGGGAGGCAGCAGUGGUGAAAUUUAGACAAGGGGCGGAAGACUGAUCCAACCAUUCCGAGUGAAUGAUGAAGACCCUCGGGUUGUAAACUGCUUUUGUACAGAACGAAAAGGUUUCUACUAAUACUAUAAGCUCAUGACGAUACUGUAAGGAUAAGCACCGGCUAACUACGUGCCAGCAGCCGCAGUAA
rnacentral:rRNA from 1 species